rnacentral:tRNA from 1 species
GUCCCCGUCGAUUAGUGGUUAGAUCAUCACGUUGUGGUUACAUGAGCAAUCCGUGAAGACGCAGGCUCGACUCCUGCCAGGGACA